GCUGGAGUAAUAGUACAACAGGUAGGGCGUUUGCCUUCCAUGCAGGCGACCUGGGUUCGACCCCCAGCAUCUCAUAUAGUCCCGAGCACCGCCGGGAAUAAUUCCUCAGUGCAGAGCCAGAAGUAACCCCUGUGCAUCUCCAGGUGUGGCCCAAAAAGCAAAAGAAGAAGUAGAAGAGCAACAAGAGCCUGAUGGAGGUGUGUGGUGAAGCACAGGGGCAUCCUCCCAAGAGGAAUUAAUUAUCUAACAAAAAAAUAAUAAAUAAAAAGUGCUCAGCGUAAAGAUAUUUGAUGUGUCGUCUUUGGAAGAUGAUUAAAUCUUGAGGAUAGAACCUCACAAAUGGAAUUAGAAUCCUUAAAAAAGGGAACCCACUGAGCUCUCUUGCCCUUCAUCAUGUGAGAAGAGAAUGCAGAAGAGAAUCAUCAAUGAAGUAAGAAUGUUGGUCAGUCACACUCCACUGAGCUCUCUGCCUCGGAGCAGGGGGUCAGCGCCGUGGAUUCCUGAAUGAUCUACGAAGUCCUCGUUGCUCCACUGUCUUCAAUACCAGUUUUUCUACUCCUGGAGGCAUGCCUGCUCCCAGAGGUAAAGGAGAAAGAUCAAGGAAGGAUGCUCUGAGUCAUCACCCUGCGGGAAAUUCUGCGACUCUCCUUCACGCCAAUCGACAAUGCUGACUUGAGAUUUCGGGAGCCAGUCACCAAGAACCCUCACAGGGGUGAGUCCCCAGGAUGAGUGAGGGGACCCUGAAUAUGUUCUCUUUACUGCCAAACUGACCAAGAAUGCUGGUCCUGUAACAGUUUUCUUUUUGGGUCAUGCCCAGUGAUGCACAGGGGUGACUCCUGGCUCAUGCACUCAGGAAUUACUCCUGCCAGUGCUCAGGGGACCAUACGGGA